AAGAACCUUACCAGGUCUUGACAUCCCUGACAACCCGAGAGACGUCGGCGUCCCCUUCGGGGACAGGGUGACAGGUGGUGCAUGGUUGUCGUCAGCUCGUGUCGUGAGAUGUUGGGUUAAGUCCCGCAACGAGCGCAACCCUCGACCUUAGUUGCCAGCAUUCAGUUGGGCACUCUAAGGUGACUGCCGGCUAAAAGUCGGAGGAAGGUGGGGAUGACGUCAAAUCAUCAUGCCCCUUAUGACCUGGGCUACACACGUGCUACAAUGGGCGGUACAAAGGGUCGCGAACCCGCGAGGGGGAGCCAAUCCCAAAAAGCCGCUCUCAGUUCGGAUUGCAGGCUGCAACUCGCCUGCAUGAAGCCGGAAUCGCUAGUAAUCGCGGAUCAGCAUGCCGCGGUGAAUACGUUCCCGGGCCUU
rnacentral:rRNA from 1 species